CACGUAGGGCGCAAGCGUUGUCCGGAAUUAUUGGGCGUAAAGAGCGUGUAGGCGGUCCGGUCAGUCGGUUGUGAAAGUCAAGGGCUCAACCCUUGAAUGCCGGCCGAUACUGCCGGGCUAGAGUCCGGAAGAGGUGAGUGGAAUUCCUGGUGUAGCGGUGAAAUGCGCAGAUAUCGGGAAGAACACCCGUGGCGAAGGCGGCUCUCUGGAACGGUACUGACGCUGAGACGCGAAAGCGUGGGGAGCGAACAGG
rnacentral:rRNA from 1 species